rfam:Schistosoma mansoni, Puerto Rico, WGS project CABG01000000 data, contig: 0037
AUCUAGCUGAUGAGUCCCAAAUAGGAUGAAGUGACGCGCGUCAUGGAU